UCGUAGAUCUCCGAGACAGGCAUGUGGAUCUGCCUCUGAGUAUGCGGAUCCUGACGCCGUGUUUGACAACCCUCAACACAGAAGGGGAUGGACACCUUUACCGCCGUGGAGCUCAACAGCACCGAGGUCCUGGUUAAGGGAAGUGAGGAGAAAGAGCAGAUAGUGAGAAAAUCUCUGACUACCCACCGCCUGCCAGCCCUGUGGACAAACCUGAUGAUGGGGCCCCUGGAGAUGUGGCCCCUGAGGCCCCAGUGGGGGAGACUGAUGACGAGAACACUGUCUCCAAUAAGACCUCAGUGGAGUC